rnacentral:lncRNA from 1 species
UAUGAGAGGGCAGAUGAUUUCAUUUAGCCAUAAAUGAAGUGACAUGUAUAAUAUUAAAAUGUAUAAAUGUAUGUGCUUAGACUCAUUCUCUUUUACAAUCUUUCUCUCCUCUUUAUAAAACUGAGUGUGACUAGUUCUUAGCAGCUUAUUAGAGAACAGGGAGAUUCUGUUCUAGGGCCGUGAUUUAUCAUGAUGCUUAUUUCUAGAUGCAGCAGAGGCUUGCCCUGUUGUCUGCUUGGAGCAAUGAGUAGAUUCCCCAUACGUGUAACUUGCCUACUCUGCUGGUCUCUCAGACAGUCUUCUUCAGCUGUUAUAUGACUUCCAGAAGUUAAGGACCAUGUUUGUCAGACAGGAGACUACAUCCAGUUUUGCUAACCAAAAGCUAAUUAGGCUGAUAGCUAUGGAAGAAGCAGAGCAGCGUCAACUGGGAAAUGUGCUUGCUGAACUCAGCGCCUGGGAGGAGCGGGAUCAGAGAGAAGAGCUGGAAGAGGAGACUCUGACAUACAUGUGGAAGCCGGAGACUCCUUCUUCUACUCUGUCAAGGUCUUCCUAAGUGCAUGGAAACAGUGAGAGUAAAAAGAAAGUGAUAAUUUACGUUUACUUAGUAUUUAUUCUUUCAUGGCACCUGCCCUACAAAUCUCCAACAUUUCAGCAAAUUGACUUAUUUAUUCCAGUAUCUUGAACACUAAACACCUCUUGAGAAAAUACCACACUUUGGAGUA